rnacentral:rRNA from 1 species
UACGUAGGUGGCGAGCGUUGUCCGGAUUUAUUGGGUUUAAAGGGUGCGUAGGCGGCCAAGUAAGUCAGUGCUGAAAUAUCCCGGCUUAACUGGGAGGGUGGCAUUGAUACUGCGUGGCUAGAGUACAGAUGAGGUAGGCGGAAUUGACGGUGUAGCGGUGAAAUGCUUAGAUAUCGUCAAGAACACCUAUAGCGAAGGCAGCUUACUAGGCUGUAACUGACGCUGAGGCACGAAAGUGUGGGGAUCAAACAGG